UGGCUCAGAACGAACGCUGGCGGCGUGCUUAACACAUGCAAGUCGAACGCGAAAGGGACUUCGGUCCUGAGUAAAGUGGCGCACGGGUGAGUAACGCGUAGAUAACCUGUCUUCAUGUCUGGAAUAAUACGCCGAAAGGGGUACUAAUACCGGAUAUUCUUGCUUUUCAUAAGUUAUGCAAGCAAAGGUGGCCUCUGCAUAUGCUACUGCAUGAAGAGGGGUCUGCGUACCAUUAGCUAGUAGGUGGGGUAAUGGCCUACCUAGGCGACGAUGGUUAGCGGGUCUGAGAGGAUGAUCCGCCACACUGGCACUGGAACACGGGCCAGACUCCUACGGGAGGCAGCAGUGAGGAAUAUUGCGCAAUGGGGGAAACCCUGACGCAGCGACGCCGCGUGAAGUGAGGAAGGCCUUCGGGUCGUAAAGCUCUGUCAAGAGGAAAGAAGUGUACAAUGGCUAAUACCUGUUGUAUUUGACGGUACCUCUAAAGGAAGCACCGGCUAACUCCGUGCCAGCCGCAGC
rnacentral:rRNA from 1 species